rnacentral:rRNA from 1 species
UACAGAGGUCCCAAGCGUUGUUCGGAUUCACUGGGCGUAAAGGGUGCGUAGGCGGUCGGGUAAGUCUGAUGUGAAAUCUCACAGCUUAACUGUGAAACUGCAUUGGAUACUAUCCGGCUCGAGGAAUGGAGGGGAGACUGGAAUACUUGGUGUAGCAGUGAAAUGCGUAGAUAUCAAGUGGAACACCAGUGGCGAAGGCGGAUCUCUGGGCCGAUACUGACGCUGAGGAGCGAAAGCGUGGGGAGCGAUCCGG